UGCUGUUGGUCUUGUUGCUGCUGCUGCUGCUGUUGCUGUUGCUGUUUUUGUUGUUGGCUUAGCCUGGAAUGCAACAUCAACAGCAAUGGCAGGCAGCAGUAACAUCAACAGCA
rnacentral:miRNA from 1 species